rnacentral:rRNA from 1 species
UACAGGGGGUGCAAACGUUGCUCGGAAUCAUUGGGCGUAAAGCGCACGUAGGCGGUUCGUUAUGUCGGAUGUGAAAGCCCUUGGCUUAACCGAGGAAGUGCAUCCGAAACUGGCGAGCUAGAGUACGAAAGAGGAUCGCGGAAUUCCCGGUGUAGAGGUGAAAUUCGUAGAUAUUGGGAGGAACACCAGUGGCGAAGGCGGCUACCUGGACCGGAACUGACGCUGAUGCGCGAAAGCGUGGGUAGCAAACAGG